CUGAAAUUGUUGAAUGUUUUAUGCAAUUAGCUUUGGAGAUUCAACUGCAAAUGCUUAUUGAUUGUCGAAGACAACCUCAAACAGUAAAAGGUAGCCAGGGUGGGCAAUGGUGGGGAUCAAUGACAAAUAUUCAAAAAAGGUAUGCAACAUGCUUUGAGUAGAAUUAAAGAUGGCAAUGGUGUUAAUGGCCCAAGCCCAGAUAAAAUUGCAAAUAAGGGUUCAUCGGUGCAAGAAAGUGAUAUUGUGAUCAGUCAAACAAGUUGUUGACAAACAACGGGGGGCUGCCAUCUGCCAGAAAGAGUUUCCAAUACGUUGGCUUCUGAAAUAAGCAACUUACAACCCUUCUGUGUCUUAAAUUCUGUUCCCCAAUCAGGUGUCAAUUGUCUACAUAUUUCAGAGAUGAAGGAAUGCUCUCAUUCAAGAUCUGAGGGAGCUUGCUGUGUCUUGAGUGGUGGAGAUGAUCAGGCAGUGCCCUGUGGUUUUUUAAGUUUGAAGUGCAUUUGAUAGACCUGGUUUCAGUUCGUGCCAAGCUGGAUGGGACAGUUCACCAGCCAUUAGGAUCCAACAUCACCAGGAAGUGUUCUCAUCUCAGUUUGAAUAAUUAAACUAAGCGUAAAAUGCUAAAUCAGGAUAGAGUUGCAUCGGUUCGCAGCUCAGAAGUGAAAGUUGGUGCUAAUUGUUCCUGUUUUUGUGCUAUUUCACUGACUCAUGGAGUCCUUCCACUUUUAUCAUGCUCAGCAAUGCGAGUGCUCACUGCGGCUUUAAAAGGGCAUGUGGCUCUCAGUUGGUCACUUUGUUAUGUGGGUAUCUGGACAGAUGGUGUUUAGGCUCUCUAGUGGUCUUGAUCAAUGGAUCAGGUGCUGGACCAUUGUGGUAAACUAACCGAGCAUGCCCAUUCGAUCAUUGGCAUGCCAGAGCCUGAAACAAUGGAUGCCAUAAUCUCUGACAGCAAAAGAAACAGAUAUCAAAUUGCAGUAGGCGGAAGAGGCAUGCAAAUGGUUGAGUUCUAUGCUUCUGAUGAGGAGGAUUAAUAGAUCUUGUUGUCCUAGUAUCACUACUUUUGCAGGUUUAGAAACCUGCUGAGGGUUUUCAAGUUCAUCAAUUGUCUCUUUCAUAGUUAUAAAUAUUUUUUCGCUCACAUUUUCUUCCUUUAUUCUAACUGUUGAAAAAAUCAAGUAGCGUUUUCUAUGUUCCAGUAUUAAUGCUCUCAUCCUUGCGGGCUUCUUAUGGACCGA